AUGAGAUGUUCUCUGCCUCCACCGACUCCCGGUUUAGAGGGGAAAAUGGAUCGUGUGUAAAUAACGCCCACAUUGGGCAGAUGAUCCUAAGGGCUGUAAGAGAGGGGCAGGGUGCCAGGGAGAGACGCACAGGGGAAAGGCAUUAAUUCUCUUUCAGGGUCUGGGGAAGGCUUCCUGGAGGAGGUGCCACUAAAGACAGAGUUUGGGAAACUCUGAUAGGCAGAUGGGGGAGGAACGGUGUUCCCAGCAGACGGAACAGCAUGAACAAGGGCCCAGAGGCUGGAUGGCUCACAGCGAGUUCAGGAUCUUCGGUAGGGCUUCUCAGAUCACCCCGUUACACAGGCAGAUUCCCGCCCCCAGCCCUCACCAGCUGGAUUUGAAUCUCUGAGAGUGAGGCUCAGGCAUAGGAUUGACAAGCUCCCCCAGGAACCAAGUUCUUAUCUGCAAGACGGGGACCGGUCACCCAUCUUCUGCAAGGUCCCUGGAGCAGGGCCUGUGCACAAGGCCAGGCUGCAGGAAGGCCCGGAAGCUUCCCCGGGGGUGCGUGUUGUCGGCUGAUACACAGAUGGGACUUUUCUGCUUGUCCCAAGAAUGUGGAAGGAGCCACAAAGCUGAGAAGGACAAGUGGUGAGAGCCUUGCAUUUUGAGAGGUGCGACACCCCGGGAUCCUGUCUGACGGAAAGAGCAGAGCUGUCCCCAGCAGUCAACCCCGCCAGCCACCUCCAGCCUGGAUGGAUGGGGGCCUGAGUGUGGGUCGAGGCAUUGUCUCCAUCGUCCUCUUGGUAAGAGCAUCUCCUGAAGCUCAGCUGAGCACUGGGCCGUCCAGCUAGAGGCCAUUCCCAGCUCUCUUUGUGGUAGGAGUGGACACGGCAUCGAGUUGCGGUCAAUGGGAUGUGAGAGGAAGGGACGCGCGCAACCUCUGGCCACAGCCUUGAAAAGGCAGCCGUUCCCGGCGCUCUCUCCUUCUCUCUCUGGGGCUGGACCACCAGCCAGUGGGAACGAUGGAGAUGAGGCGGACGCCCUUGGACGGGGAGGAACAACGCGAUAGGAGGAACCAGCUCCUUCCGCAGCCUCAGGGCGUGGAGCUCCUCAGCCACCCUGGUCCACCCGCAAACUGCAGGCGGUCAUGAAAGAGACAGCCAUGUGCCUGUGCAGACACGACUUUGAAACCAACAGUGUGUCUAGCUGGGUGUCCAGGAGCCAGAGGAAGAAGGUUUGGUGACCAUCUGGCCAGCGUCUGCCACAACCUCUCAAUGAUCCAUUGUUUCAUUCUCAAAAAUGGAGCGGGAAGCACAAAGCAAAUGGGGGAAGGAAAAGGCGAUAUCGUCACCAAGAGUUGAAGACUCCCAGGGAAAUAUAAAGUGGAAAGGAAAGUCGAAGGGAAUUCUGGGUCAGAGCCUGGCUUCUGCCCCGAGUUGGCCAAAACUCUUUCUGACCUUGCCAGUGGGCAAGGACGUGGGUGAGUCCUGGGGAGCCCAGGGCUCAUUACAGCUGGGAGAACUGGGGAUGGUGAUGGAAGGAUGGCCACCCAGAGUGGAUUGGUUUGUGUCAUCUGCUCCUGUGCCCACCAUGGUCAACUUCCGCCUCUCAGGAACAGGUCAAAGUUGAAG
rnacentral:lncRNA from 1 species